rnacentral:lncRNA from 1 species
CUCCCACCUCUCUUCUCAUCCACAAAAUACUAACAUAAAAGUCAAAGUCCCUGAGACCAAUACUUUCACCAAACAGCAAAACAAGAAGAACAACAACACUAAGCAAAAAAGAAAAGCUCAAGCCGAGAGAGACAAUGGCAUCAACAUUCACGAGCUCAAGCAGUGUUCUUACCCCAACAACAUUCCUUGGCCAGACUAAAGCCUCAAGCUUUAACCCCCUUCGUGAUGUUGUCUCUCUCGGAUCUCCCAAGUACACUAUGGUCUGUUUUCUUUUUGGUCUUAAUCUCGUCAUAUUAAAGGUGUUUCAUCUUUCUUCUUGAGUUUGUGUCUGACUUUCACGUAAAAUGUCUAUGUGAAGGGAAAUGAUCUUUGGUAUGGACCUGACAGAGUGAAGUACUUAGGACCCUUUUCCGUUCAAACUCCGUCUUACCUCACCGGAGAAUUCCCUGGCGAUUAUGGUUGGGACACCGCCGGUUUAUCCGCAGACCCUGAAGCCUUUGCCAAAAACAGAGCUCUUGAGGUUAGUCUCUAAAUCUCACUCACUCAAUGUAAAAACAGAGUAAAUAACUAAUCAUCAUUUGCAGGUGAUCCAUGGGAGAUGGGCAAUGUUGGGAGCUUUUGGUUGCAUAACCCCUGAAGUUCUUCAAAAGUGGGUCCGUGUGGACUUCAAAGAACCAGUCUGGUUCAAAGCCGGUUCACAAAUCUUCUCCGAAGGCGGUUUGGACUACUUAGGCAACCCAAACCUAGUCCAUGCUCAGAGCAUUUUAGCCGUCCUUGGCUUCCAAGUCAUCCUCAUGGGUUUGGUUGAAGGUUUCCGCAUCAACGGUCUUGAUGGUGUUGGCGAAGGCAACGACUUGUACCCCGGUGGGCAAUACUUUGACCCGUUGGGUCUCGCUGAUGAUCCAGUUACUUUUGCUGAGCUUAAGGUGAAAGAGAUCAAGAACGGAAGAUUGGCUAUGUUCUCUAUGUUUGGCUUCUUUGUUCAAGCCAUUGUUACUGGAAAAGGUCCUUUGGAGAAUCUCCUUGACCAUCUUGACAACCCUGUUGCUAACAAUGCGUGGGCUUUCGCAACUAAGUUUGCACCUGGAGCUUAAAUUUUCAAGUCUUGAUGUGAUUCUUGUAAUGAUAUGAACAUAACCUUUCUUGUUCCUCUCAAAUUACAAAUCUUCUAUUUGCUAUGCACAGAAGAAGUCUCAAAAAUACAUGUCUCUCACAGCUAAAUCUACAAUGCUCUUAAUCUAACAUUUUGGGAUCGUGAUACUAAUACAAAGCUAAGUGGAUGAAGAUUCCACACACACUAAUAAGUAAUAAGACCCCUAGCCUCUUUUUCCCCACCAUUUCCGGUGACGACCUUUAUCACCAUCUACUCUAUGGAGUCUUGCUUUAGUAUCUCUUAAUCUAGCUUUGUAAUCUUUCUUCCAUGUCUCAAAUCUUAGCUUCAGUCUCCUAAAUUCAUCUUCUGGAUGUUGCUGUUGCUGCCCGUUUGGAGUUGCCUGAGGUCCGAGCUUCACCUCCACAAUAGCUCUUGCAUCUUCAUCGAAAUUGAGUCUCCUUUGGUCAAACUCUCUUGCAAGAUGAUUAACCGCAUUCAAACUUCCGUUGAGCUCUCUGAUUCUGAGUUCAGGAGUGUUUCCGUUUGUGAACUUAUUAGUAGGAGUUCUUACUCCCGGAGUUCCAGUAGACAUCGUGUCCUCUGAGUCAUAACCGAAAGGUGAUAUCGAUGUGUCUUGUCUUCCUCCUGCUUGACCCGUAAUGCUCUCUGCAGCUAGACUCUUUCUAGCGGCGGCAAGACUCAUCUGCAAAAAGACAUGAUGCAAAAACAUUUCAGAAAACUUUGCUGAUGCAGUAAGUGAAUGGACUUUCAUAACCAGGUAAACAUUUGACCUGCAAUGAUGACAUUUGCUUUUGCCAUGUUUCCUCCAUUGACUUCAUCUUUAUAUCAUACUCUGACCAUCUCUCCUCAAAUUGCCUCAACUGCUCUCUCAAAGCUGUGUUUUCUUCUUCCUUCUGCGAUAAAGCUGCUUCAGAUUUCAAAAUCCGUUUCUGGAGAUCAGACAUAGAUGUUGGUUGAACUUGUGGCUGCUCCAGAGGAAUAUCCUGAAUUGGAAAGGAGAGAAAGUUAAAAGUGUAAUAAUAAUAUAAUUCAGACAUAGACAAUCUUCAUGUUGAUAGCAAGUACCUUGUCUUCUGAAAUCCUCCUGCCAGCUUUCCUCUUUGAUUUUGUCGCCACAUUGCGUAGUUCUUUUUGUCUUUGCAUACUAUUGAAAUGUUUGCGAGCCAACCAUCCACGAACCGCUGCAACAAAGAAAAAUGAUGAUGAGCCUCAAAAACACUAUCCAAAAUCUUUAGUUUACCAAAGAAGAUAGUGCGGCUUACCAGAUUGCAAGUGUAUGACUGCACUCAACUCAUCUGUGCUUGCUUCAGAAACAGAAUCCGCAUGGAAUUUUGCUUCAGUGUCAAACAAUCUUCGGGCAUUUUCACCUCGUAUAUAUGACUGAAGAACCAAUGUUACUUUCCGCAUAUUUUGGAAGUAUGCACGAGACAAGUGACCACGGAAAUGCUUUUGUAAGCCCACUAUGCCUUGAAGAACCUUUUUCCUCCGAUCCUCAAAGAUCCCAAUCUAUGAAAAUUUGAAGAAGAGUACAUAAGAAUUGUAUCGACAACAUCAGGAAAAAGCCUCUAAAUCUCUGCUUAAAGAAUCGCUUACUUGUCCAGUUCGGAGGUACAAUUUUGUGUAACCCACUUGAUACAUUUCAGGAUGAACGUCAUAUUGUUUCAGAACAGCAAUUGAUACGCUCAGAGGAUCCUGAGCGACCUUUUUGUCUGACAAUAAGAAACCAUAUCUUCCUGCAAACUCUUGAUGUGUCAAACGAGUAGGAUAUCCAGAUCUUGAUAUUCUAACAACUUCCAACACGCCACAACAUCUAAGCUGUUGUAAGACAAGAUCCUCUUCAUAAACUCUGGGAAGCUGCUUUGAAUUCGGCUUUAUGCAUCGAAUGAAGUGAGGACUUGUGUUCUCUAACUUGUUCAUCAAUUUGAAAAGUUGACCCUGUAGAGAUAAUUUAACAUGAGAUAUGCAAUAUGACACGCGGAAGAUUGCAACUUAUUCAAAACAGCAGGAUUCAAGCUUCUUUACCUUGAACUUUGUUCCAACAGUUUGGUUCGUGGAGUCCGAUAACAUAAGUGGCUUUUGCGAUUUGCCACGCAUUUUAGUUGAAAACAAUUUCAGCAACUGGCAGUCGCAUGAUGAUAAAAGAUUGAUAAGAUCAGCAGGUAACGGAUCCCUGUUCUUCUCCAAAAAGCCAUUUGUAUCAUAGAGAACCUGUAAACAAAAUCAUCAUUCCAACAAAACCGCCAUAAGUACACGAAAAGUUGCACAAAAUCAGUUCCGUAUAAAACCUAAUCAGUAUGCAGAGUCUGGCUUUUGAGCUAAAGGAAUCAACUGACCUCUCCAGCAUAAUGAUUAACUCUGAAGGCUCGACCUCUCUCUCCUUUGAAGCAAGAGUUGGUCUUCAAAUGUUGCUUGAGCUUGUUGGCAAAGGUCAAAUCAGUUGCUUUUGGAAAAUUUGAUUCCUCGUCUAGUAGAGACAACAAACCAAUUGGUUUCUGCACAAGCAAACAUAUGCAAGAUAUUACUUUAAAAUAAUGUCAGAAGGUCCUUAUAAGACAACGAAUACAAACUGUGGCAGGCCAUUAAUUACCUUCUCAAUUAGAUCUAAGCACUCUUGAUUGUCUACAAAUUCGACCUUAGUCCAAUCAAUUCCAUCUUCUUCAUAUUCCUGAGCAGAGAAAAUAAUGUUUAAUGAAGCAGCAACGCAAAAAGCACGCAUUUAGUAUUUCAUUUACACAAAGAAAAACCACCUCUUGUUCAAGUUUAAAUAAAUGCCGGUUGAAGUGUUGCUGCAAUCUUUCAUUUGCGUAGUUUAUACAGAAUUGUUCAAAGCUGUUAUUCUGAAACCAAGGAUAAACAAAUCAUCAUCGCAGGAUUCAAUGAGAAAAGAGAUUAGUAAAAAUCUAGAGCAGAUAUGGGUACUACUAACCUUAAAUGAUUCAAACCCAUAUAUAUCAAGGAUGCUUAUAGAUCUUCCUGUACGUGAUUUACCGACUUCCAAUGCAAUGUUUAUUUGCUCAACAAGCCAGUCAAAUAGGUUUGCAUAAAUAAAUUUUGCUAUUCCAUCCCUCAUGUCAGUUGCCUGUAAGUGAAAACGGUUCAGCAACUCAUACAUCACCUAAUGAUCGAUGUAUAUGAAAACAAGUAGCAAGAACGAUGACACUAUUAAACAUUACCUGCCGCAAUGUCAGUUUUUUAGCAAUACAAUCCGUACCAGCUUGAAGUUUACGGGUGGACAAAACCACCAUAAGCUCUUCUGUGUUGCAGCCCAUUAACAUAGCGGCAUUGGCGACAGCUGUAAGAAAUAACAGCCAAUUGGUAAGCAAACAUCACGACGUUAUAGUUUUUGUAAAAUUAAGACAGUAGAUUCUACCUUCAUCCGCUACCACCUCCACAUGAUUUUCGUUGUCAGUAACUCGAAAAGAUACAUUUCCUAGCCACAACACUGCUGCAAGCAAUGCAAAUGCCCUCUCUUGAUGCUCUUUAGGGAUUUGAACAAUGUCAAAAGCUUCCUGCAUAUAUACAGAUAUGGUUGUGAGAAAAAAAAAAAAAAAAAAAAGAGAGAGAACAAAAAUUUGACAAUGGAAACAGACUGGAAAAGAUAAAACAAUUACCAGUAGUUUGUGAAAUUUCUGAGCAUCAUCAACACCGGCAAUGGUCAAGCAAUCACUCUGGCUCAGGUAGGUAUACUCACUUGCUGUUUUAAGCUUCAAUCUCUCUACAAAUAAAACCAUAGAUAUAGUAGUUAUCCAAAAUAGAAACUAAUCAGGAUUAGAUGUGUGACUGUAUUCUACUUCAGUAAGGACACGUCUAAAGAAUGUUAUAUGUGGCCAUACUUAAGAAUUGGGUAUUAAAGUUUCGAAUGUUACCUUUAAGAAUCGGUGAAGCACCUGCACACAGCUCAUAAAAUAUAUGAUAGGAUCUUUCGCCAUUGAACAGCUGAACCACUCUUGACUGGUCAAACAAGACUACCAAUUUAAUCACCAAUGCUAAGUAGUUAAAGUCAAAUGAAAAAAGCUUCUCAAUGGAAACAAAAGUACCUUCUCUAGCAGAACUAUGGGGAUUCAGCAAGAGUAGUUAUGCAAAACAUGGGGAAGAAGACAAUAAAAACAAGUGAGCUUGCAUACUAAACAAUAUGACAAACAAUAAUAUAAAUGCUCAAAUCAUACUUACAAGUUUCAAGUUUGGCUCCACAUAUCUUUCCCAUUGCACUAAAAUGAAUUUCUAUGAGUUUACCCUGUGCCAAUUAAGAUAUUCUGUUAAAUUAAAAUAGAAUAACUUCUCAGUCUACAAAAGUGGUGGUCAAGCUAAUCAAGUAACACAUUAAUAAUAACUUGAAAAGAUAUGGAAGGGGAAAAUGGACAAACAAGCUUGUAAAAAUAACUCACAAAUCGGCUAGAGUUAGCAUUUCUUGAUGUUUUAGCGUUUCCAAAAGCUUCGAGUAUGCAGGUUGUUUUUAGGAUUUCAUACUCUACUCCACAGCUACCUCCACCGAGAGCUGCCAAGUACUGCAUUGCAAAUUUUGCAGUCUCAGUUUUCCCAGCUCCACUUUCUCCACUAUAGAACGAUAAUAAUCAAUUCAUCGUUGAUGUUAAUACCAGCGAAUUACAUCAAUGAUCAAUAUUCAUAUAUAAAAGCAUUCAGAAGUCUACAAAAUUCAGAAUGCAAAGACCCGUACCUUAUUAUAAGAGACUGAUUCUUCUCUUCUGCAUGUAGAAAGGUUCAACAUGUAAGUGCAGAUACUCACUGGAAGACCGAUUAGGACUUCCCAAAUCAUGGAAAUACGAAAAGCGUGAAUAUAAAUGCAUCUCCUCACCUCUCAUCAUCUCAUCAUAAGCUGCAUCCGCCACAGCAUAGACAUGUGGAGCAUCCAUAACCUUCUUCUGAUAAGCUGAGAUAACAUCAUUUCCAUAAAUUUCUACAUUCUUGAAUGGAUUGACCGCAAUCAAUACAGGUCCUGCUUUACUCUGUAUAAGAAAAACAUGAAAGUUCUUUAGGAAUUAAGCACCAAAGAGUGAGAAACUAAUCGGAUGAGCCAAAUGAUGUUCAAUAACUCACAUAAAUCACGUCUUGCAAAUAUCUGACACGAAGGUUAUAAAGAACAGAUGGUUCAUUUAGAUAACUGAGCUGUAUAAGAUCUUCAACACCUUCCAAUAUAUCUGGGUUUGCAGGAAAAAGCUCUUCAGUAGACACUUUCACAACCUUUGAUAACACCAAAUCACAGAAACCUGAAAGUCAGACUACAGAAACUCUUCAAUAUCACAGAUGGAAAGUGCAACAGUGUUAAGAAAACUCACAUUUGCAGUGGACAACAUAACAAGCGACGUAUCAGCGGAAGUAGACUGUAUCUUCCCCAGUUGCCACUGCCCAUUAGAUACCCGACACCAAACUCGAAGUUUCUGAAAUACAAUACAAACACAGUAACCACAAGUUGUCAAUAAAAACGAAAUUCCAGAGCUCAGUUUUUCAUAUCUAAUACUACACUAAACACAACUGUGACACCUCCAAGCAAAGCUAUCUACCAAGUACAAACAUAUUCCAUUUCCCAUAUUCUAAUCAAUCUAUUAAGCCUCUUCCACAGAACACUCCCAGGUUAGACUUUUCUCACCACAAAGUUCAAAAACUCACUGCUCAAGUCACCUCUUAAAGACUCAUUCCGAAUCCCAUCCCUUGGAAAUAACUCAACUUCACUAGGAAAUAAAGAAUUACCUUCUUGAUGAAGUACUCAACGUUAUUGUUCCACUCAGACUCAGGCUUAUUAUGCUCCUCCGUGUUCUCCACCAAACUAACUUUAGCGAUACUAAUCUUCACACCCUCCUCUUCCUUCUCUGCUGCAUACGGAGACUCUGACCUAAGACCAGUCCUCAUUUUCUUGCUUCCAAAACUAUUCCUCUUAACACCCAAAUCCUUCUCUUUCCUCUUCACCCCUUCCUCUUUCCUUUCCGAUUCAGCUUCCACCGCAGGCGUCACAGAAACAACACUUCCGUUCUGAUCUUCCAUUACACUAGAAACAUUAAAGUUGGCCGGAAGCGAACGACGAGCAGAAGGAAGACGAGCUCUUGAAUUAGGCCGAGAAGGAAGCGCCGGAGGCAUAUCUUUAGGCCGAUCACACUCAUCUUUCUGACGAAGAGACUCAAGCAUCUCCUCUAACGAACUUUUCGCUAGUGUGUUCGGCGAUGCCGAUAACAUCAUUCCUCAAUCACAGACCUCAAAAACUGAAUCAAAGUUGAAAACUUUCUAAAAACCCAACACCAGAAAUAAAUCAGAAAUCUCUUGUGCUGAGUCUUUAAUUGAGAAGCAUUUCACGCAAUCCAAGCUUCCAUAAAACCUAAUCUCUCAAAUCACACGCCUCGUUAACCAUGCAUUACUUCCUCGGAACCAGAGAAAGAGCUUCUUGGGAAAGAAAAAAAAAAACUAAAAAUCAGAAAUUCAGCGAAUCAACAUUUGUAAAACAAUCUCGAGGCUCCUCAUACAUUUCUCAUGAAUGGAUUUGAAGAAGGAAAUAAAAAUUGAAACUUUAGAACAAACAAAAAUUCUGACUUAAACGAGAAAUCAACAAAAACCUGAUCUUUACACAAACCCAGAAACGAAGAAGAGAAAAUGAAUUGAAAAGGAAAGAGGGAGAGCGAAACUUACGAGGUCAAUGGAAGAGACAAAGACAGAGAGUCUCUGCUUCUCAGGUUAGUUUGUCAGAGGGAAAACAGGAGAGGAAGAAAGAAAAAAACAGAUUUUUUCCUGGGGAAAUUUUAAAACCCUAAGAUUUUCUUCUUCUCCUGAGGAGAUUAAUGCGGAUUUGUUUUCUCGAAAAGAUGCAACUUUUUGGGAAAGAAGAAGAAGAUAAAAGAGUAAUGAAUAAUCCUCUCUGUUCUUCUUCCCUUCUUUCUCUUCGACCAACAACAAAAAUUCAAAUUUUUUGUCUUUUUUUUUUUCUCUUUGUUCAGACAAAAAAUGGGUCCGAAUCUGAAUUAUAUUAAUGACUCAAAUUUUCAAAAUUAUUUUUUAUAUAUUUGUGAAAAUAACGUUGGUCACAAAAAUAAAAGGUGUUAUUAUAUGCAUCAUUAACGUUCUAUAAUUUGCCCCUGUGUUUUUAGAAAAUUACCAUUAAGGUGGAAUUUCAAAUUAUUAACUAGGAAGUAAAUACUCACUUUAAUGUUUUUUCUUUAUACAAGUCAUAAAAUCUUCAGGUAGUAAAUCAUCCCAUUGGUUAGUUUUUAUAUCAUUUCAUUUAUCUAUAUAGCAUGUUAAUCUAACUAUUUUCUAACACUAAACUCCUGAUUUUGCUCAAAAUAAUCAAAUAUGUGUGUCUCCACUUACUUUAAUUAAUUUUAUAUUUUAAAGGUCGUUAUAUCUUUUAUUUUAUUUGGGUCAACAAAGUUCAAACUAGCUCUAAGGUUAUUUAAAAUUUGAGAAUAAAAACAAAUGUACUAAUUUAGUGAACAUGAAUAGACGUUGCCUCAAUAUUAAAAAAGAUCCACAAAUGGCCAAAGUCAAAAAGUAUUUGUUAUAGAACGUGACACGUUGGAGGAGGGAAGACUGGUCGUUAAGGGGCUUUGGUUGAUCGAAAAUGACGAUAAUAUCUCUCAAUCAAGGCGCUCACGUUAAUGUCUCAGUUCCAACUACCCCCCUUUCAAUUCUUUUCCACAAACUCUCAAGUCUCACCCCUUCCUUUGUAGUAGGGUUUGGAUAUAUACUUUUAUCCGUUUAUCCGAUAUGUUAUGUAGAAGUUGACCUUGUAGUUUGGUAAAAAUUGAAAAUCUUUGUUCUUGCAAGAAUCUAUUACAUAUGUUCUAUAUAGAUUAACAUGCUAUAUAAUUGUCACUUAACAGUUAUAUUUUAGUGGCUGGUAUAGCUAUCCACAAAUCCAUAACAAGUCGAUUUAUCAUAUAUAACUCAUUAACUAUAGCUUAUCCACAAAUCCGAUCUUUCUUCGAAAUAGAACUGCUAACUGCCUUAUCAUUCUUUACUUCGACGACCGAAUAGAGACCUUCCAAAAAAAAAAACUCAAUUCAACCGUAAAUAGAUUUUUUAAAAAAUACUAUAGAUAAUAGGUGACGGAUACACGAGUUUUUUAAUUUGAGUUUUAUCAUGAAAUUAUUGGGGAGUAAUGGAAAUAGAAAAUGAAAAGAGUAAACGUGGCUUCCGCUAAUCUAGCAAAUAAAAGAGCACUUAAUUAGCUAAAAAGCGUAAGAGCGAGUCAACAAUACAACCCGGCUGAACAAAUAAGGUGUCGCAGUUUUUUUCCAUUUGGAGCUUAACAAAGUUAAGAGACCAAUCGACAACAAAACAAUACUAAUACAUUAACUGGUCAACCUUUUAAUUUGUUCAUGCCACGAAUUGUUUGUUUUGAUGUGCUCGACAUUUAAAAUCAGAUAUAUGUUAGCCUUUAUGAAGAAAGUAGACUCUAAUUAAUUUGUAGCUAUAUAAUUUCUUACAAUUUAGUUAGACAUAAAAGAUGGAAAAUGCAUAGUGGAACUGUGAAUGUUGUAGCUAGAGACAUGAUUGGAAAAUAAAUUAGAAUAUUAAUAAUUAAGGUCGGACACUAUAUUGACAAUACCAAAUAGUCACAGUACUUUUAAAGUAUUAUGAUCAAUUCUCACUAUGUGUUCUUUUAAUUGCAAGCGACAUAGUUUUGUAGCUAAUUUUGAUGUGAGGUCAAGUAGAUCCAACUACAAAAAUUAGAGAAGUUUUUAGGUAGAGAUAAUAUGAUCGUUAUUAUUAUUAUUUAAUCAGGGAGCUUCAACUUCAAGUCAAAAUCUAGUAAAUAACCAAAAGAAAGAAAAUAUACGUCUAGUAGAAAAAAUUAACAAUGAUUAACAAUUAAAAAUCAAUUUAUGACCUAAAACCACGUACGUGUAGGAUGAUGACAACUAGAGCUACACUAGACUAGACUAAGAUUAUUUGGUUAUUUAAAAAUUCUUGUAGAUGAUUGGUUAUCCAAAAGUUUUAACUUUUCAUGAAUCAGUAUAAACUUUGAUUCCGCUGGCGAGUCUUAUCACUCUAUCAAACACAUUGUUAUGUAGACUAUAGUUGAUUGUUAAUACAUAAUUUAAUUUCAAUCAAAAUUAACAAUGAUUAGAGUGUAAAUCUUUUAUCAAGCAAAAUUAAAAAUACAAUGAUUAGUUCACGUCAAUACUCGCCGAUCUCAAGGGUAUGCAAAUAUUGCGCAAUUAAUAUAAAAUGAUCUUGGUGCGGGUAAUAAUUCUACACACACACACCCGUAAGUAUUUUCAUAAGAUCAUUUCAUAAACACAAUAUUGAAUUUUUUUAAAACAUGUCUACAUUCAAUGUUUACUUUUGAUUUGGAGUAUUAUUUUCGUUAAGUUAAAGUAGACUACUUUUGAUGUUUGCGGUCCAAUUCAUUAAAAAAGACAAUGAUGAGAUGUGUUUGCUUAAGGUACGUGAUUAUGAAUGUACAUAAUAAUGCUCGUGAUUUUUAAUGUGGCAUGUACAAAUUUGCAUCUUCUUAUUAUCAGCCUUCUUACGUCCAAACACAUUAAAGAUCACUAUAUUAUGCUUGUGUUGUAAUACAUUCAAUAGUUGUCUAUUUAUAACAUCAGCGGCUGUAAAUUGUAAUCGGCAAUUGAGUUACUACCACUUCGCUAAAGUUAUUGUUCUGAUCAUAACAAUAUUUUCAUUUUUAAUUUCGAUUGGUAAUUUUUUUUUUUUUUUUUUAACCUGAGUGACCAAAACUCAGAUUAACCUUCCAAACUUCGUUAAAAAAAAAAAAAAAAAAACUUCCAAAAUUCAUAGAAAUUUGGAUUUUUAUUUGAAAACAUUGACUACUAGUCUAAAAUGUUUGAAUUAGCAGUACAAAAUGCUCUAAAUUUAUUUAAAAAGGACAUUCAACUUUUUUUUUUUAAAUCACUGGACCACUACUGAUUAAUUUCCAUCGCUAUAUAGAUGCCUUUUUUAUUAUUACUAAGAAAUUUUUUAAACUAGAACAUUUUCUUACCAACUACCGAUGACAACAAAUAGAUAUGCAUCUUUUUAUAAGCGCAUUUCGAUAUUUAUGCAAGGCAAGUUAAACUUUAAAAAAAAAUAUUUUAACAGAAAAGUCAAACUCCUAAUCUUUUUUUCUACUCCUUAACCCCUUUAAAAUUUAUAUACCCCUACUUAAUUAAAUGGCCAUAUACAAUACAAAAUAUUACACCAAAUCAAACUUUUUUAUAUAUUCAAAUUUCAAUAAUGUAAGAUUUCUCUAGUUCUAACUAUAGACAAUUAUAUACUUUUUGUUUAUUUUCCUUAAAAAUGUAGACAUGCAAUGCGAGGAGUUAAAUGCUUUGCAUCAUUGAGCAUGAUGGAAAGGGUAAUAUCUUAAUUUAUUAAAAUUUCUGACAUAUCCACAAGGGAAUGUCCCCAUUUACACUCAUGUCUCUUCAUGUCUAUCCCAAUUCGUUUGUCCUAAAGUCUCUGACAUUCUUCUUCUUUUACCUUUUCUCUUAAAAAAACAUGCUUCUGUCUUUUUUCUUGUUUUGUGGUUGUAGUGGCGCUUGUAUUCGAAGUACGAGAGAAAACGUAAUUCGCCAGUUCGCCUAAUUAUCAAAUUUAUCAGUUUGGGUUUAAACUUUGAAUUGUUCUGGACUUGUUGUAACCGCAUAUGUGAUAUAUGUGCAUAGAGGACACAUCAACAGGACUUGAAUCAACGUCUUAAAGAUUGAUCUACUACGCUAAUUAACAGAGAAAACGACGAAAAAUGUUUGAAAUUUUAGUUUUAUCACACAGUUAAAGUUAUCAGUAAUAUUCCCAAGCAGACCAAUCAUUUCAAAGAGUGAAUGGUUCCAAAAUAAAAUCAUAUUCUAACUGGAAUUAUGGAUUAAGUUAUAUAUACGCAUCAUCAUAUGCUCAUUAAAAUUUUGGUAAAGCUAUUAUCGCAUGCGAGUUCAAGAUUUUAGCGAUAGUUACGUUGCUAGCUCAAUAAAAAGAAAUUCGUUGGAUCUUUAUAUCAAAUAAAUCACGAUUAUUGAACUUUAUGAAUUGAAGCAACGUCUGAAUAAGGAAGAAACAUGUAAUUGUAGUCUAUACCGUUCCAUUUAAAUAAUUUAAAUGUUGGAUAAGAUACUUUCUUUAAAUCCAUAUGCAUAUCUUAAAAUUGUCCCCACGAACCGGUGUCGACCACAACUUUUGAUUUUAAUACGUGUGAGUGAAUGUUGGCUAGAAAGUAUAAAACCUAAAAGUGGGCCAAAGUAUCUUUUACAAAAUUGGGUUUGUUGAAAAGUUUGGUAAAAUCAAGCUAAAUAUAAGAUGACAACUGAGUUUAUGCUUUUAAAAUUUCACACUACUCAUUAGCCCACUCAACAUUACUCAUUGUGCGAUGUGAUAUUAAUUACAAUCAGUAGUCAAAUUUAACCCCCCAAAAAAAUAUCAACGCAUUUUCUAAUUUCUUCUUAUUUUUGGUAGUUUAAUGGGCUUGUAAACAUAAGCUUAGUACCAUGUAAACAACCACAAUUAUGCUAAAGAUUGUUGCUGAUCGAUUAGCCCUACUAUUCUAAAUCUUUGUAUAUACACAAUUUGUUGGUUAUCAGAUUGGAUCCAUAGUGACUUUGUACACUCCAAUCAUUAAUAUAAGUUAAUGGGCCUUUAUAGGCUUUAAAAAAUCAGCCCAUUAGUAUAUAUCAUUAAAUAAUAAUGGAAAAUUAGAAAAGACUGUGAAGCGAGAGGACCGUUAAGACGACGGACGCUUAUCUGGAAGGAGAGUCAUGAAUCUGAGUGUGAACCGAUGCAUCACCGGUGGUUUCGUCGGUGGAUUCUCUAGCUGCAGACUCAAUCAUGGUAGUGAUGAUUUGUUCUUCUGAUUCAAUUUCUAGUUUUAAAGAGAGUAAUUGAGCAAGAUGAAACUUUUAAUCUCUUUGGGAAUUUUGAUUGAAGAUGAUGAUGUAUCGUUCGCAUAGCGCUUGGAAUUACUGUGUUUUGAAUUCGGGUGAUGAUCAUGAUAUGAAAUUGAAACUGGGUCGCGUUGUCGUUUUAGCUACCACAUGUUUAGUUAUCUUCUUUGUAACGUUCAUUUUGAAAUGGUUAGAUUUAGGAAGCUGAUUAGAACACUGACGUUUGGGAAUAGAUUAUUUUGAGCCAUUGGGUCAUUAUUGAUGAGUUUGAUUUCUCUCCAUGGACUACAGAGAAAAGGUGGGUUCGUGCUGGCAAGCACUGUGAGCUUGAGAGGGAGAGAAGUUUAGUGUCUGAUGCUGUUUCUUUAGAGAGGUUAGAGAGCAAAAGCAUUAAACUUGCGAUGCUUGCUAGUGGUUUAGGAGGUAAUGUUGUCACUACUCUCUUCUCACCUCCUUCAUUCUGUUAUUGUUCUGUGGCAUGUAUCAAAUCUUUUAGUCUUGAGGUAAAUGCUUAGUUUAUGAGGAUAUGUGUUUUAAGAAGCUAGCCAAUUAUCGUUAAUUAUGUUUCCAAACAUCUGAUCAUGAACACUUGAACUUUAUCUUGGUUUUCCCAGUGGCGAACUUGGUAACUCUUAGCUCAGCAAAAGCCGCAGACUUGAAGAUGAUUGUCUUGGUAAGGUUUAAUCAUAGAUUUUGAUAUUAUUGUUUAUAUACUUGUGUGCUUUCUUCUUUUGUUUCUGUUACUGUAGACUAGUUCAAUUAUGUUCCACAUCUUAACCUGAAUAGUUUAUUGAGAUUAUGUCAAUAAGUGUUUUUUUUUCCUUUUCUCCUUAGACCUUGGUUAGGGAUUAUAUCUCAAUAUUUUUGUUUGGAACGAAUUUGUGCCUAUGCUUUUCUGCCUUGAGAUACGUCCGAUUGCUUGUAAAAUCAGAAACUAAUUUCCCCUUAAGACAGGAUCAAGCCACUUCCAUUUACAUCUUGGCUGAAGGAAGCCUUGGAGAUUCGGUCGGGAACUUCUUGUAUUCAGCUAACCAACAGGCUAACGAAGCUGUUCAAGAUCAACUAUCAGCACUCAGUGUAACAAGGUAUGUUUCUCGGGUUCUCUCUCAAUGAACGCGUUUCUGAGACCUUGACCAUCAGGUUAUCCUGCUAAUUUAUCCCUGUUGUAGUUUGGCAGUAAUAUUUGGGGCAGGCCUUGUGACAAGUCUGUCUCCAUGUACACUUAGUGUUUUGCCGUUGACACUUGGUUAUAUUGGUAUGAUAACUUAUCUCAAGAUUUUACAUUUCUCACAAGUUAUUUAGAAUCUUAGUUUGAUGUUCUAAUUCUUUCCUCACCUGUCCUUCAUAUGGCUGUAACAUAUAGGUGCAUUUGGGUCUGGCAAAAGCAGAGGUCAGGUUAGUGGCUCUUCAGAACAGAUUUUUAGAUAAUAGCUGUCGCCUUAGGAGUUGGUUGGAUCAUUGUCGUUGCAGAUUGACAAAAUUUAAAAGAAGUUAAAGUUGAGUUCCUGUAAACAAAUCAAAGCUCCGUUAAAGGAACAAUAGACCCAGUCCAAUCAAAUGCAUCAUGUUUUCAUUCACAAGUAUAGUAGUUUUUAGUGACCUUUCAGUUCUUCAUGCAUUUAGGUUAUUGGAGAUACAGUUGCUUUCGCACUGGGAUUAGCAACUACCUUAGCCCUUCUUGGGAUAGUAGCUUCUUUUGCCGGAAAAGCCUAUGGACAAAUAGGACAAGGAUUACCAGUAGCUGCAUCCGGUCUGGCUAUUGUAAUGGGUCUCAAUCUCCUUGAGGUAAUUUUUGCUACAAUCACUCUUUUUUCAUAUUGCAUCAAUCAGAAUGGAAAAAUGCAUUAGAUAAUGGCCAUGUCUAACAUGACGUAUUUCCUACAGAUAAUCGAACUUCAGCUUCCUUCUUUCUUUAACAACUUUGAUCCUCGUGCUGCAGCAGCAAACUUCCCAUCUAGUAAACCUCCUAGCACACAAAACUUUCAUGGUUUUUUGGUCAUUAAAUCUUGUUUCUUAUACUUGGUAACAAAAUGUUCUGUCAGGUGUACAAGCAUAUCUAGCCGGUCUCACAUUCGCACUUGCUGCCUCACCUUGUAGUACUCCAGUUCUAGCCACUCUUCUUGGUUACGUGGCUACUUCCAGGGUAACUCCAUUUCGUCUCCUUCCAUUUGAAAUGUCAUUAUCUCAAAUAUGAACAUGAAAGCUAGUUAACUUUCCGGCUUUGUUUUCAAGCUUUUAAGAAACGGUUUAAGUUUAGCAAAAAGCUGAUAUGGAUAAAAUGUGAAAAACAGGAUCCAGUAAUUGGUGGAAGCUUACUCUUAACCUAUACAACAGGUUACGUCGCUCCACUUAUCGUCGCUGCUUCUUUUGCCGGAGCUUUACAGGUAGUUUCUUUUAAAACCAAAUAGCGAAAUGCAAAUUUCUUAGUUAAGUUUCUUACAGUAAUGAAACUAACUGCGUAUUUACUCGUCUUAAAAUUUCUUCAGAGCUUACUUUCGUUGCGAAAGGUCUCUGCAUGGAUCAAUCCCAUAAGGUAUGUUAAAGAUAAAUGAUUAUAGGCUAUUGCUUUUUCAUAUUGUUGAUUUACUAAAUCUCGGUUCCAUUUUUUCCUAUGUUUUGGUUCAGUGGUGCUCUUCUACUUGGAGGAGGUUUAUAUACUUUCUUGGAUAGGCUUUUUCCUGCUGCUACUAUGGUCAUGUAAAAACUUAACUUACAAACUCAUUUCGGCCAAAAACAAAGUGUUUGUAAUAGUAAAUAAAUAAUAUUGUUUAUAAUGUAAAAUUACAAAAGAAAACAGAUUCGAACACUAGUCACUACUCACUACUGUUAACAUAUAAUCCUUCACUUGUAACCACACGAUUAACGUCUCGACCCCAAAAGAAACAUAACAAUCAUAAACACAAUUUUUGCAUUAUUUUGAAAUUUUGUUCCCCGGAAGAAGGAAAAAAAAACUCUUUUAAGUGGUUGUAAAAAAGAGUCAAGUCAACUUUUGCGACUGUGCCGUCAUUUUUCUCCUUCACCGACGCCUAAGCAAAAACCACGAAAAUUUACAAACGAGUCCCUCCAUUUACCAUUUCAUUGUAUUUAGCCAAAGAUUCUAAUCUUUGCAAUCUCAUCUCUUCGUUAAACUUCUUUAUAAACGCUUCAACGCGCCGAUUCAACUCCUCCUGUCCCGGCGACGGCUCGCGUUUCAACACCGUCUUCUCCUCCGUGGGGGUAUUUAUGUCCUUUAAAUUCUCGGACUUGGUCAUCUUCUCCUUAUUUUCUGGUGAGCUUUGCACGUGAGCUCUUUCUUGCCACGUGUCGGAUUUAGUCAAGUGCUUAGUUAACGGCGUUGAACGUCCUUCCGUUAUCUUCUUCCACGUCGUCUCCAGCGUGUCUUGUCUCCUCGGUGGCUUCGUCACUCCCAACGCCGUCUUUUUAUUUCCACCUGUAUAAACAGUGACAACUCCUCCGUCAUUUUACGAUUUUGCCCUUCUCAGAAAAUUCGAAUUUCGAGCAAAAAAAACUAAAUUAUUUUACCUUCUGAAUUAGAUUUAAGAGAUUUUUGCUGAUUAAAUCGCGGCGGUUUUCUCGUACUGUGCUUCAGAAUCGAAAUCUCCGGCGAAUCAUUCUUCAAUUUUGGCUUCUCCGUCUCCGGUUCCGGCGAAUCGCUACUCUCUUUCGACUUCUCCGCCUCCUGAACUUCUGGAAACUUCCGGAUAGCCUCCACCGUUGGAUUAAUCGACACGUCAUCGAUUUUCUCAACAAAUCCGGUAUAAUCAGAAACCACAUGAACCACGUUUAAAUAACCGGAAUCGAUAUCAGAAGGUAAAUGAACCGGUACCGGUAUCGGUAUUGGAGUCACUACUUCCGAGAUCUCAGAGUCAUCGACGGAGGACGAUUUAUGAGUGAGUUUAGAAGUAGCGAUGAUGCAGACGAUGAUAGAGUUGAUGACUAAGUAAAGAUACGGUGGUUUUAAGAGGAAGACGGUGUUAUCGUAAAUAAUCGGAAAGCAAGAGACUACGAAAUGGGAAACGGAAGGGACCGUGAGAAUCAUCGCCGUGGCAAUAGAUGAAACGCCGGCGAUUACGACGGUGGCCGUCGUUUUGAAGGAAGAGGUAGGGAGAAGAAGAGGCAUUGAGAAUUGAAUUGAAUGAUGUAAUUUGUUUUUGCUUUGGGAAUUUCAAAUUUUGUUAGUUCGGUGGUUCUUAUCUACGAAAAUAAACUAAAGAAGCUUUGAGAUGUGUGGAUUUAUAUAGAUACGGUGAAAUUUAUAAAUUCUUAAAAAUGUGGUCCGUGUUUGUGUGGGCUUUUUACAGAAUCAUAAGUGGGCCUUAUUUAUUGAGGGUAUGGUUAUGGAGGCUUAUCUGAGUGACACGUGUCAGUUUUGGGUUUUGACGUUUUAAGUUAUAAACUUAUAAUAUAAGCUUGCCUAACAUUUGCAACAAGAUUUUGACAAUAGAAGUACAAUAUUUUAUGCAUUGUGUGUGAUUAGAGAAUUUGAGAUUCGAGAAUCUGCCACCUACGUACCAAGUCGUACCGUUGAUUUUUGUUUUUUCACUUGGCAACAAAAAAUUUAGUCGAUUGUGUCUUCAUUUUAUUUAUUUUUUUGGGGAGAAAUUUCGAGUCUUCAUUAGUUCAUUUUAUGUAUGUUAGUGUUAAUUUGAGUUUAGCCGAUCUAGAAGAUAUUUGUAAAUGGAAAUAUUCUUUUUUGGUUUUGUUAUUGUAAAAUUAUAUAAUUGUAAAAAAGUUAUGGUUGCUAGCAAAAAAAAACAAAGUAGUUACUGUUGAGCUAGGAUUUUUAGGUAAUGUAGGCCAUUUUUCAUUGACAUUGUAAAAUUAAUAGUUGAAAGUCAUAGUGAGAAUGCGAAUUAUGAUGCAUGUGAAUACUGUUUUAGAUAAGGACAUGCAGAUUGUAACAUAAAAUAAUUGAGAUAGAUGCAUACGUAUAUAUCAUUCUCAAUGCUAAACGUUCAAUUUUGUUUUCAUAUUAGUGCUUAUAUUAAUAGUAGAUUUGAUUUGACAAUUCAAACUCACGAAAGAUAUAUAUCGCAUUACGGGUCAACAAGCACAACAAAAUUCUACCGACCAUUUUGGAUUUUUGUACUUGAUACUGAUUGAUCUUCUUAUGCAUCAUAAAUAUUGGCUAUAUCCUCUACAUAGUAUAAUAGAACUUAAACUUUAAACUUCUGCCCUAAGGUCGGUACAAGUCCGACAUGGUAUUUUUGUUAUAAUAACCAAAUGAGUAAUGCUAAAGUCCAACGUGGUGUUUUAGUUUAUGUUUGCAUUAGAUCAAGGACGAUGUACGUGUAAGAGAAAACCAAAAAAAAUGCAAGAAAAUAAUAUAAUUAAAUACAAUGUAGUGCACAACUUCAUUUGUUGUGCUUUGUGAUCAAGCGAGGAUUUGUAGAAAUGGUAUUUACAGAUUUACGUUGUCAUCAUUGAUUACAGUUUUGCAUUUUGUAGCUAAUAAAACAUCUUGUAACGAAAAAGGUAAACAAAGGUUGGCUAGUGGGAGGUACACAAGCUUGUGGUGAAGAAGGAGGAUGAGCUUUAAGCCAUUUGACCGAAAGCCCGACAAUGCCAAACUCAAAACUUUAUAACGCUAAAACAGCCGCCCAUAACAAGAAACAAGUUCAAUAUCAACACGUCGCCUUUAUUGAUCUUACCAAUAAAGGUCGAUUAAUUUGUUUUCUUUCAAAGGCUUUUCGGAACCGUUUCUUUGUUUUGCUUAGUUCCAAAAAAUUGGUAUGUCACAAACUUCGUACCAAAGCAAAUAAAAGCAGUAAGUGGAAGAGAACAAUCCACGUUUUGUGGCGGUCUCACCGAUAAAUCUUUUUUUUUUUUCCUUUCUUAGCAAGAAUUACAUCUAUUAAUUUUUCGACAAUCGAGUAAAAUCAUAAAUCAAAGCUCGGCUACAACACAGUUCCAAAGAAAAGAAAAUAUAUGUUUAACAGAGAAAAACUGUCCAGAGAUGAUUGUAUAUAUAUUCUUUUGGUUCUUCAAAUUUAGAACAAAGAUGUAAAGGCAAAUUCAGAAAAAGUCUCUCUCUCUUGAUCAAUGUUUUGUGAACAUUCCAUCCAUCAAGGAAGAGAAAUCAAAGUCUUUGCCUGAUUGUGAAGAUGGUGUGGUGCUUGUUGGUUGGGUUGCGGAUGAUGACUGAGGUUUACCGGUUGAGUUUGGGGUCAUACCGUUCACUUGAUUAGCUUGACCCAUUGUGUAGAAACUGCAUUAUUAAUAACAACCAAAGAUCAUAUGAGAGUUAGUUAGGUUAAGCACUUUUGAUAACGUUAUGAUGUUUUCAGAAGAAACAAACAAGAUGCAGUUUUGUGUGCAUACCUGGAUGAUGGGUAUUGUAGAGUGUUCUCUUGCGGUUGUGCGGGUCUCGUGUUCAUGUUUGCGUUCAUAUUCAUGUUCUAAAAUUAUGGCGAUGUAACAGAGAGCAAGAAUUAGUGAGAAUUUUGCAAGAACUUUGGUCAAUGGUAAUAUUGAUCUUGCUUAAAAAAAGUAAAGGGGAGAUCUUACUUGCAUAAGUUUCUGGAGAUCAGCUUGACCACCUACGGGGUUAGUCAUUCCGGGGAUCUGGUAGCCGCCGGGGUUUGACCAAUUUGCAGAAGCUACGUUAAGAGCAUUAGCAAUAGCUUGUUGAUUCACGCCGUUUGGAGUGCCUCCAGCAGCUUUCGCUGCAGCCAUGUAAAGGGCUUGCUGCUGAGCGAGCAUAGCAACCUGUUGCUGAUGCAUGGCAAAAGGCGAUACUAUAUUCGUCUGUAAUCAAAUAGAACACACAGAGUUAUAUCACUUGAAUCUGCUCUGGUGUUCCAAAUGUCCCGUGUUGAAGAAAUCAUAGUAAGUGAUAACAAAACACAAAUCAUAUCAUUCGCUAUAUUUGUAAAUGUAAGUUAAAUAAUGAUACAAAAACGAAACUUGGAAAGCUGAAUAUCAACAAAGCAGUGAAAUCUGAGAAGCGUAUAUAAUUAACUAAUAAUUUACCUUCUCAAACAGGCUCAUGAUAUCGCCUUUCACAUCUUUUGGUGCUUGUUGAGUUGUUAAAUUAGGUGUGUCCUUAAACAAAUCCUCAAAGUCAGAAGAUGAAGCUGGAGGAGAACUGCUCUCAGCAGGCUUGGCUGUGACAAUUUUCUCUGCCGUUUGACCACUUCCAGCAGCUACAGUUUUAGGAUUCAGAAAUUAAUCUAUUACUCCAAAGCAUUUUCAAAAGAAGAACAAUUGACAUAAAGUUAACAAGGAUAGGAAAAAUGUGCCACGAUGUUAGAUUAUCACAUGCUAGAUAGAUACAUACACUGAAAGCCAGCCCAUGAGUUAUCAUCGGCAGGAGUAUCGCCAGGAGUUGCCUCUGAGGUAUUUGUAGUCGAAUCAUCCAUUGAUAGCAUGUUAAACAGAUCAGUAGCAAAAUCCACCUUUGGAGGAUCUGAUGCUGGUGCAACAUUUACUGCUUGUUUCUCCCUCUCUACUGGAGUAGCUGCAGACUCCAUUUUCUGCUGUGGCUUUAUAACCUGUCAUUUUUAGCAUCAUGUAUCAGAAAAACCAGGGUUUGGAUACUGUAAGAAAGACACGUUGACAGAUUAUGAGGCUCUAAAAACACAGUGAGUAAAAUAAUGAUCUGACAGCUACAGCAUAUGCAUUGACAAAAAUAAUGAUCUCAUAGCUGAUAUCCUAAGAUUAUUAAAUAAGAUCAAGGAAUACGGAUCCUUAAUACUGAUGAGUAACUAAAGGUAUGGCUCUUUAGUUAUACAGAUCUUCUGAGAAGUAUGUUUGGUACCUGACUGGGUCCUUGGGGAGGCACGGGAAGAUUUAUUCUCGUUGCAGCAACAUUAUUUCUUGUUCUAGAUGCUGGAAUAGUUUUCCUCUCCUCAAACAAAUUUACAGGACUACUACUAUGUCCAUGCUCAUAUCCCGGCCCACUUCUCUCCACAGAUUUCCGCCGUUCCUGCUCGACUCUAGGAGGUGAUCUAGCCUUUUCCCCUCUAGAAACCCAUCUCUUCUCUUCAUACCUAGAAAAGUCAUAUGUCAUAAGAAUGAUUUCAACGUCCAUAUGAAUAGCAAGAUAGACAAUUCAAUGAGGUGGAACUAACUGAAAAGUUUGUAUAAUGAAAAAGAGAGAUACAUACUUUGCACGUAUAAAAUUCUCAAUUCCAACUCUAUCAUAGUUUGGGGGUAGCUCUGCUUCCCAGUAACUAUUUGCUUUAUCAUUUCCCAUUGCUGCAUGCAAAUAAAAGAUUAUAUACUUUACAUUGCGUAACAACCCAUGAAUCAGCCAUAGAGCAUUUAGUUUAAAAGACACUUACACUGUAUAAAUGCAACCUGCUCGGGGAGCCAUGUGUCCAGAGUGGCAGAUCGAACCUGCACUCAUUAGCCCAGUCAGGUGUUUUGGUAGAAAAUAAAGUAGCUUAUGCUGCUAAGGUUAACAUCUACUUGACAAAAGGACACGGCUCAUACAAAAAUCAGAGGGCGAAAUCAAAUCAUGUACUUUUGCACAGAGUUGCUUGAAGUUCGUGUGUAAACUGUAUCGACGACAAUGGGAGUACAAGAAGGUGGGGAGAUUUAAUGCAUUCAUGUCAAACUUUCCAGCUCUUGUGAUGGAAAAUACAAAAUGAAAUUGCUAAUACAAAAACCAAAUUGAAAAUUUGUGCAGAGAAUUUGAGCCAAAUGGAAUGAGUUAUUCAUCGAAUUAAUAUCUGAGCUUUCGUAAAAAAAUGCAGCAUCAAGAAAACAAAUGUAGAAAGGAAAGUGAGAGACUACCUUCGAUAUGUGUACCCCGAGACUCCUGUGAAUCCCAGAACAUUGCAUGCAGAUAAAGAUACCUAAAUUAACACUAGCCCAUCUUGGACCUCUGCAAAGCAAAUGGAACAGUAUUAGCAAAUACAUACAUGAACCAGCAUAAUAAUGCUGAAAAUUCACAUCAGGUAGAAAACUAUACUUUGUUUUGCAGUCAGCACAUUCUCUGUUCUCUGGAUGUUUAAGAAGCCCUUCAAGAAUCUGCAGAUAAGUAGCACCAAAAUCAAAUGAAUAUUCAAGCAAUAGACUACAUAAACGAAAAAAUCAUACGUCGCAAAACAUAAAGAAGAAUCUACACAUACAAAAUAUAGAGUAUCUCAAGAAAACUUCAAAAUUAUCAGAAUUGACAUGUUUAACUAACCAAAAUGAAUCAAAGUUCUCAUUGCAGUAUGAGAUAAGUUUCGUCAAUGAAUGAACACCAAAGUUCUCGAAGACUCGACAUACAACAUCAUUCCUAAUAUCCUAUACAUGUAUGCAUCACCAAUCCCACAAAGCUAUCCCAACUACAACUAAUAGUUUCAACAUGGCAAAUAACUCAAAGACUACCAAGCACAAAUGAAAAUCCCUAUGGGACGCUAAGCUCCUUGGAUCCCUGUGUUCGAUUCUUUCCAAAAUCAAACAAUUGAAUACGAAUUUCUAUAGGAAAACACUAGAAUUCAAGCUCCAUGAAACUGUAACAUUCAAUAAGCCGACGUUGAAUAUAAAACAAUUCAAAAACCCGAUCGUGAUCAACUAUUGUCCUAGACAACAAAUCGAAAUAGAGAAACUGAUUUUCAUUGCUGAUGAAUAAUAAUUCUAGCUCAAUCGAUCGAAGAAGAUAAGGAUCGACGAUACAAAUCCUCUCCUAACUAGAGGAAACCGAAGAAAAUGAAGGAAGGAUAGCUGCUAAUGCACAGAUCCAAUCGAAUUAAGAUCGAUCAUAUAUUGUUGGCAACCAAAUUCAAAUAUAUGACGACAAAUCCACAAAGCUCGGAGAAAAUAAAAUAAGAGAAUCUGAGAUUCGAGAUUAGAGAGAGACCUUUCUAUGGCGGGCAUUAAGCUCCUUAGAGACGUUGGCUUUCUCGUUCAUGGCGGAUAGAUAAAAUCAAAAGAAGGAGAAUCGGAGAAAGAGGAAGAAGAAGAGCUGAAGAAAAAUGAUCUACGGAGACGACGAGGUCAAAAUAGUCUUUUCCGCCUUCAGCGCUCUUCAAUAUCUCUCUCUUCUUCUUCCUCUCCGAAAAUUAAAAAUCCUUUUUUCUUUGCCCUUUGAGAACGAGCGACCAAGAGAGAGAGAUGGGUCAAUACUUUUUGGACCGUUCAGAUUAUGGUACUGGUUUAUUAAUCCGGUUUUAGAUUUCAUUUUCAAAAUUGAAUAUGGUUCGGUUUAAUUUCAUUUCGGUUUAAAUUUUCAAAAAUAAUUCGGUCACUCGUGAUUGCAGCACCUGAAAAUUUUCAAAGAAAUCUACACAUGAAUAUUUGUGAAAGUGUAAUCAUAUAAAAUUGGUUAAUUUGUGACUAAGUGGGUUUUGAUUUAUCAAAAAUAAGGUCGGUUUAUUUGGCGGUUUAAGUGGUUUUUUUGAUUGGUCAUAUAUAAGCAUUAGAGUGUUGCGGGUGGAAAAUAAAUCACAUGGCCAUCUCAUCACCUGUUAUGUCUGUAUCCACUUUGGAGUGGUUGUUGUAUUGAUUCCAAUUUCUUUGUUUAUUUAUGUGAUGUUUAUGGGACAUAUUUUAUUUGCUAAGAUUUUUAUUUGAUGUGACGAUGAGUCAACGAAUGUUCCAACCAACACAAAUUUCAAUUUAAACCCAAAAAAAUAAUUAUAUUAUUAUCUCUUAGAUUCCUAAUUUUUCAAACUGAUAUUUGUUUGUCAAUACGAACUAUAAUCCUAACAUUCGACAAACUCUAAUUUAAUAGGUAUACAUUAGGAACUAUAAUACAUUGUGUGUGAAUAAACCUAAAAAAGUUUUGUAGUCUAAUGAGAAGUGGUCUCUCGCUGGCUCUAAACCUCAUAAUCGGUUUGGUCUAAGUAGCACCUUUACUUAUCUGUAUGUGGAAUAUCAUCGGGAGUUAUCACAAAUAUAAUCCCAAAGCCUUUUGAAAUUUCUAACUUCUCUAACUUCAUCCACAUAUAUAUACUUUCCAAUUUUGAAAAUAUAUAGAUCCACUUAGUAUAUUUCCAUUUUAAGUCGCCAUUAGAAGAGAGUUAUGCUACCAACUUUGGCAAUUAAUAUGCUUUUUAGGGGAUGUGACGUCGCGAUUAUGAUGGGAUGAGCUUGGAAAUAUAUGAUCAUCAUAGCCAUCUCUCUUUGUUAUCAGUGCGAGGACCAACUUUUCAGGAGGAUAUUUGCACAUCUAGAAGGAAGAUUUUUCUCAUAUAGUAAAUAGACGACUGCUUAUUUUUGCUUCUCGAAUUACUCUCCAUAGCCUCUCUUCAAGUAUUCUCAGAUCUCAAACCCUCUGACACGUAUAGAGACUUCCCCACAUUUUGCAAACUUUAAUUUCUUCUUAAUCAGACUUAGCUUCAAGCUUUAUCUCAAUCAUGUACAUCUCACAUUGUUUUUCUAAAAUUUGAGGAUAUUGAUUCUGGAGUAUGUAUUGUUAUGUAAAUAAGUAUUUAUAAUUAAAUCAAGUAUAUGGAAAAUAUAUUCGAAGAAACAAACUUCAUAUAAUAAGGUUUGAACGUGGUUAAUUAAAAUGAUAUCCAAUUAAGAUUGUAUCGGAUCUUGGUGGUUAUUUAUGUGAACAUCUCAACAACUAGGGUUUUGUUUUGUUUACUCUUUCUUAUUUGAUUCUCUUGCAGCCUCGCUUUCCCCUAAAACACUUCUUAUCAAUGGCGCUGCUUCUCAACCAACCCUUGAAGCUACUAUGCUUUCGGAGGAAACCUGUGUUGGUGAGAUCAUCUCCUCUUCUCUCUAAUGAUGGCUUAUCAUCUUCUUUGCUGCAAACUCCUCCUUGUUUCGUCGUCAGCGCUAAACGUUGUGGAAGACUUGCGAAAGAGGGAAAACUCGUGAUUUUGAAUCCUUAUGAAGAUGAAUGCACUUC